rnacentral:rRNA from 1 species
CAGUAGCCACGGUAAUACGGAGGGUGCAAGCGUUAAUCGGAAUUACUGGGCGUAAAGCGUGCGUAGGCGGUGAGUUAAGUCUGCUGUGAAAUCCCCGGGCUCAACCUGGGAAUGGCAGUGGAUACUGGCUCGCUAGAGUGUGUCAGAGGAUGGUGGAAUUCCCGGUGUAGCGGUGAAAUGCGUAGAGAUCGGGAGGAACAUCAGUGGCGAAGGCGGCCACCUGGGACAACACUGACGCUGAGGCACGAGAGCGUGGGGAGCAAACAGGAUUAGAUACCCCCGUAGUCCCUGUCUCUUAUAC